GUGCUCACUUUGGCAGCAUAUAUACUAAAAUUGGAAUGAUACAGGGAAUAUUAACAUGGCCCUUGUGUAGGGAUAUCAUGAAGAUUUAUGAAGUAUUUCAUAUUUAA
ensembl:snRNA U6 U6 spliceosomal RNA